rnacentral:lncRNA from 1 species
CAAAUUGUGGACUGAAAUUGGGCCUCAAUCCCGCGGGCUUGAAGACUGAAAUUGCUGGCCCAUUUGAAAUUAAACUGAAAAUGGGCUGCUCUCUUUGGGCUGAAAUAAGCCAAAUUUGCUGGGCUGAUGCUGCUGAAGAUGGACCGAAGAUUUUUGGCUUUGCUGGGCUGUAGAGUUGGGCCGCAAUCCACGAAGAGAUUUGCGUGGGCUGCUUCGGUCUUCGCUGGAGGGUGCUGCGACUUCAGCCAGUCAAUUGCUUCGGCAAUUGAGUUACACGAAGGAGAAAUGGAGGCGACG